rnacentral:tRNA from 1 species
GCUUUUAUAGCUUAUAAGUUAGAGCAUAGCGCUGAAGACGCUAGGGAGAUCGCAACAUCUUAAAGCA